rnacentral:rRNA from 1 species
AACAGCCAUACAAAACAUUCCCCUGCAGCCCAAGACCGGUUACUCACUGAAGCUAAGCAGGGCUGACCCUGGUCAGUUCUUGGACGGGAGACCAUAUGGGAAAACUAGGUUGCUGUUG